UUGAAAGGGAAACGAUUGAAGUCAGUCGUACCUGUGGGUAAUCAGCCUUUUGGGUGUGGUUUUGUGGAGUGUGAGGAGUUAAACGCCUUCAUGCCUGCAUAUUCGUGCACUUUGGGUGUAUUUACCCGUGUGGUAAGUUAACAUCAAUUUCGGUGGUCAUAAAAUGGCUGGAGGAAUGUAGCUUCGAUCUUGUAUUGAAGUGUUAUAGCCUUCGGUAGAUGUGAUGAUCGGGAUUGAGGAUUGCAACGGAUACCCUUCGGGGCUACCUGUCUGAUCUCUGAUCGUUGCUCUGGUGCCGAAAGCUUGCUUACGGUUAUCAAAGUCGAUGGCCAAUAGGUUAGAACGGGUUAAAUUCGUUAAGGAUGUUGACGUA
rnacentral:rRNA from 1 species